rnacentral:rRNA from 1 species
UUAACAUGCAGUCGACGGCAGCGCGGACUUCGGUCUGGCGGCGAGUGGCGAACGGGUGAGUAAUGUAUCGGAACGUGCCCAGUAGCGGGGGAUAACUACGCGAAAGCGUAGCUAAUACCGCAUACGCCCUUUGGGGGAAAGCGGGGGACCUUCGGGCCUCGCACUAUUGGAGCGGCCGAUAUCGGAUUAGCUAGUUGGUGGGGUAAAGGCCUACCAAGGCGACGAUCCGUAGCUGGUUUGAGAGGACGACCAGCCACACUGGGACUGAGACACGGCCCAGACUCCUACGGGAGGCAGCAGUGGGGAAUUUUGGACAAUGGGGGCAACCCUGAUCCAGCCAUCCCGCGUGUGCGAUGAAGGCCUUCGGGUUGUAAAGCACUUUUGGCAGGAAAGAAACGGCCCUGGUUAAUACCUGGGGCAACUGACGGUACCUGCAGAAUAAGCACCGGCUAACUACGUGCCAGCAGCCGCGGUAAUACGUAGGGUGCAAGCGUUAAUCGGAAUUACUGGGCGUAAAGCGUGCGCAGGCGGUUCGGAAAGAAAGAUGUGAAAUCCCAGGGCUUAACCUUGGAACUGCGUUUUUAACUACCGGGGCUAGAGUGUGUCAGAGGGAGGUGGAAUUCCGCGUGUAGCACUGAAAUGCGUAUAGAUGCCGAGGAACACCUAUGGUGAAUGCAGCCUCCCGGGGAUAACACUGACGCUCAUGCACGAAAGCGUGGGGGAGCAAACAUGAUUA